CAUGCAUGUGUAAGUACAAGCCGAAACAAGGCGAAACCGCGAAUGGCUCAUUAAACCAGCUAUGGUUCAUUGGAUCUGUAAACCCAAAUCCUUGGAUAACUGUGGUAAUUCUAGAGCUAAUACAUGCAUCACGUCUCUGACCGCAAGGGAAGAGCGCUUUUAUUAGUUUCAAAACUGGUCGGGCCUCGGUCCGUUAACCCACCUGUGGUGAAUCUGAAUAACUUGUCGCUGAGCGCACGGUCCUCCGCACUGGCGCCGCGUCCUUCAAGUGUCUGCCUUAUCAGCUCUCGAUUGUAGGCUAUGCGCCUACACUGGCUAUAACGGGUAACGGGGAAUCAGGGUUCGAUUCCGGAGAGGGAGCCUGAGAAACGGCUACCACAUCUAAGGAAGGCAGCAGGCACGCAAAUUACCCACUCCCGGCACGGGGAGGUAGUGACGAAAAAUAACGAUGCGAGACUCAUCCGAGGCCUCGCAAUCGGAAUGAGUACACUUUAAAUCCUUUAACGAGGAUCAAUUGGAGGGCAAGUCUGGUGCCAGCAGCCGCGGUAAUUCCAGCUCCAAUAGCGUAUAUUAAAGUUGCUGCGGUUAAAAAGCUCGUAGUUGGGUUUCAGUUCCGGACUGACGGUGCACCGCCAGGUGCUUACUGUCACGCUCCGAACAGCUGAAAGCCCCGCCGGCCCGCACGGGUUGCUCUUCACCGGGUGUCCCGCGUGGCCGGCACGUUUACUUUGAAAAAAUUAGAGUGCUCAGAGCAGGCUACAUGAAUAGCCUGAAUGACUAUGCAUGGAAUAAUGGAAGAGGACCUCGGUUCUAUUUCUGUCGGUUUUCGGAACCUGAGGUAAUGACUAAUCGGAACAGGCGGGGGCAUUCGUAUUGCGACGCUAGAGGUGAAAUUCUUGGACCGUCGCAAGACGAACUACUGCGAAAGCAUUUGCCAAGGAUGUUUUCAUUAAUCAAGAACGAAAGUUAGAGGUUCGAAGGCGAUCAGAUACCGCCCUAGUUCUAACCAUAAACGAUGCCAACUAGCGAUCCGCCGGCGUUAUUCCCAUGACCCGGCGGGCAGCUUCCGGGAAACCAAAGUCUUUGGGUUCCGGGGGAAGUAUGGUUGCAAAGCUGAAACUUAAAGGAAUUGACGGAAGGGCACCACCAGGAGUGGAGCCUGCGGCUUAAUUUGACUCAACACGGGGAACCUCACCUGGCCCAGACACCGGAAGGAUUGACAGAUUGAGAGCUCUUUCUCGAUUCGGUGGGUGGUGGUGCAUGGCCGUUCUUAGUUGGUGGAGCGAUUUGUCUGGUUAAUUCCGAUAACGAACGAGACUCCGGCCUACUAACUAGUCGACGGAUCUCCAGCAAUUGGUGUCCAGUUCGCAACUUCUUCUUAGAGGGAUAAGCGGCAAUUCUAGCCGCACGAGAUUGAGCAAUAACAGGUCUGUGAUGCCCUUAGAUGUUCUGGGCCGCACGCGCGCUACACUGAAGGGAUCAGCGUGUUCUCCCGCUCCGAGAGGAGCGGGUAACCCGUUCAAACCCCUUCAUGAUAGGGAUUGGGGCUUGCAAUUGUUUCCCAUGAACGAGGAAUUCCCAGUAAGUGCAAGUCAUCAGCUUGCGCUGAUUACGUCCCUGCCCUUUGUACACACCGCCCGUCGCUACUACCGAUUGAAUGGUUUAGUGAGGCCUUCGGACUGGCGCUCUUGGAUGUUCUACCCCGCGCG
rnacentral:rRNA from 1 species